UCAUUACAAGUGAGGCUACCGAACGUUGGAAACAGCGGUUAGGAGCUUACACCCACCCGUGUUUACAUACUAUUGUUGCUUUGGCGGGCCGUGGCCUCCACUGCGGGCUCUGCUCGUGUGUGCCCGCCAGAGAACCAAACUCUGAAUGUUAGUGAUGUCUGAGUACUAUCUAAUAGUUAAAACUUUCAACAACGGAUCUCUUGGUUCUGGCAUCGAUGAAGAACGCAGCGAAAUGCGAUAAGUAAUGUGAAUUGCAGAAUUCAGUGAAUCAUCGAAUCUUUGAACGCACAUUGCGCCCUGUGGUAUUCCGCAGGGCAUGCCUGUUCGAGCGUCAUUUAACCACUCACGCCUAGCGUGGUAUUGGGGCACGCGGUCUCCGCGGCCCUCAAAAUGAGUGGCGGCGCCGGUGGGCUCUAAGCGUAGUACAUACUCCCGCUAUAGAGUUCCCCCGGUGGCUCGCCAGAACCCCCAAUUUUUCACAGGUUGACCUCGGAUCAGGUAGGGAUACCCGCUGAAU
rnacentral:rRNA from 1 species